rnacentral:rRNA from 1 species
UUUGCAAGAUAGCCAUGCAUGUCUAAGUAUAGCAAUUAUACCGUGAAACUGCGAAUGGCUCAUUAAAUCAGUUAUCGUUUAUUUGAUAGUACCUUACUACUUGGAUACCCGUGGUAAUUCUAGAGCUAAUACAUGCUAAAAACCCCAACCUUCGGGAGGGGUGUGUUUAUUAGAUAAAAAACCAACGCCCUUUCGGGGCUCCUUGGUGAUUCAUGAUAACCUCUCAGAUCGCAUGGCCUUGCGCCGGCGACGGUUCAUUCAAAUUUCUGCCCUAUCAACUUUCGAUGGUAAGGUUUUGGCUUACCAUGGUUUCAACGGGUAACGGGGAAUUAGGGUUCGAUUCCGGAGAAGGGGCAUGAGAAAUAGCCACUACAUCCAAGGAAGGCAGCAGGCGCGCAAAUUACCCAAUCCCGACACGGGGAGGUAGUGACAAUAAAUACUGAUACAGGGCUCUUUUGGGUCUUGUAAUUGGAAUGAGUACAAUUUAAACCUCUUAACGAGGAACAAUUGGAGGGCAAGUCUGGUGCCAGCAGCCGCGGUAAUUCCAGCUCCAAUAGCGUAUAUUAAAGUUGUUGCAGUUAAAAAGCUCGUAGUUGAAUCUUUGGCCUGGCUGGCAGGUCCGCCUCACCGCGUGCACUUGUCCGGCCGGGCCUUUUCUUCUGGAGAACUGCAUGCCCUUUACUGGGCGUGUUAGGGACCAGGACUUUUACUUUGAAAAAAUUAGAGUGUUCAAAGCAGGCCUUUGCUCGAAUACGUUAGCAUGGAAUAAUAGAAUAGGACGUGCGGUUCUAUUUUGUUGGUUUCUAGGACCGCCGUAAUGAUUAAUAGGGACAGUCGGGGGCAUCAGUAUUCAAUUGUCAGAGGUGAAAUUCUUGGAUUUAUUGAAGACUAACUACUGCGAAAGCAUUUGCCAAGGAUGUUUUCAUUAAUCAGUGAACGAAAGUUAGGGGAUCGAAGACGAUCAGAUACCGUCGUAGUCUUAACCAUAAACUAUGCCGACUAGGGAUCGGGCGGUGUUAUCGAUUUGACCCGCUCGGCACCUUGCGAGAAAUCA